rnacentral:rRNA from 1 species
UACGGGGGGAGCAAGCGUUGUUCGGAUUUACUGGGCGUAAAGGGCUCGUAGGCGGCCAACUAAGUCAUACGUGAAAUCCCUCGGCUUAACCGGGGAACUGCGUCUGAUACUGGAUGGCUUGAGAUUGGGAGAGGGAUGCGGAAUUCCGUGGUGUAGCGGUGAAAUGCGCAGAUAUCAGGAGGAACACCAGUGGCGAAGGCGGCUAUCGUCGGACGAACAC